AUGGCGUACAGGUGAGUAAUGUACAAGAAUCUACCUUAAAGUUUGAAAUAAUCAUAUUUUUUUAAGAAUGCUACGCAGUGAUAACUUCAAUAAAAGUAAAAUACUGCUUUAAGAUGAGCUUGUAUAGGAUUAAGUUGUUGGUAAGGUAAUGGCUUACCAAGCUGAUGAUCCUUAGCUGGUCUGAGAGGACGAUCAGCCACACUGGGACUGAGAUAAGGCCCAGGCUUUUAGCCAGCAGUGAGGAAUUUUGGACAAUGCGCGAAAGCGUGAUCCAGUAAUACUGCGUGAAUGAGGAAAGCAAAAAAGGUUUAUAAGCUUUUUAAGUUUAUAGAUCGGUUGUAAAAUUCUUUCGCUAAGUAGGAUUGUGACUUUAUUUAGAGAAGAAGCCCCGGCUAAUUUCGUGCCAGCAGCCGCGGUAAUACGAAAGGGGCGAGCGUUAUCCGGAAUGAUUGGGCGUAAAGAGUUCGUAGGCGGUAUUUGUUGUUACAUGUUAAAUCCUA
rnacentral:rRNA from 1 species